CAUCAGUUGUACCUCCGUCUCUCUCCACUGUGGAAUAUCAGAGCUAAUUUUGGGUCUAUUAGGAGUCUAGCAAUAGUCCUGAGCUGAAUUCACUUUGGCCUUAUGGUGCACCAGCACUGAGGCUUCCACGACUACAAGCUGAAAUUACUAAAGGGCUAAAAUUACUAAGAGCUGAAAUCACUGAGCACUGUGUUAAGUAGUGGGGAGCCUGAAGCUCUAUUGCAGAGCGGAGCGGAGCAGUUCAUGGGAUGGCUGGAGAGGCUCACGGACCGGCUGGUGGAACAGUUUGUGGGAUGGCGGAAGCUGCUUGCGGAGCAGUUUGUGGGACGGCUGGUGGAGCGGAGUGAAGCCCUAUGGAGCUGUGGGGCAAUCAGCUUCAGAUCAUGGCAGAUGUACCCUCAGAGACCAGAAGGGGGAAAUGGGUGCAGCAAGCCUCAUAACUGUGACCAUGUGCUUCAAAAUAUUUGUUUUAUCAGGAUAUAAUCCAACCUCCUACAGCCUAUGGUAAGGAGGAGACUUCCCUGAUGGUAGUUUGUUAUAGAAGAGUCUGUUAUGGAAUUUCCCCCCACCUUUUCCUGGAGCAUUUGGUACUAGCCGCUGUUAGAGAAGAUAGUGGACUAAAUGGACUAUUGUCUGAUGUGACAUGGCAGUUCUUGUGCUCCUAUUUAAAACUAAGGAGUGAUUUAAAAAUUGCUAUACUGCCUGUUAAGAUAAUCUGCUCCCUUGGUUCAGGAGGGGAGGAGAUGAGGGGUAUUGUAAGGGCUGAACCUUAUUUAGUAAAUGUUUUGAGACCCAUUUGUUAACCAAGAAAAGUCUUUAAGGAUUGUAGGUUAUUUGGUAGCCCACCGCUUCAGUUAAAGGACAAGCCUAAUAAGAGUCCAUUGGUGCAAAUGCAGCUUUUUCUAGAAAGCUGUUGAAAAUAUCUUUGCUAAUGGGAUAGAAUUGUUCUGUGUUGCCUAAAUUGUUGGAAUGACACUAAUAUUAGCUGUAGAAGAAUAGGGGCAGUUUGGGGCCAAAUGUUCAAGGGCAGUGAUGGGUACAGAGUAGGUAGCAACAUGGAGAAAAGCAAUCUUUUCAGAGCCAGGGCACGCUGGCUGGUACUGUGGAGGAAUUAGUCUAUGAUAUGUAUAAGCCUUACAUUCACCCCCUCACUCUCCCUGUACAGCAGAGGGACUGGGAAGCUAAUUAUAAUCAAGUCAAAAUCUGAUUUAUGUGCUGCCCCCUUGCUCAGGGCUUGUAUGAAAGCCACAAAUUCACCCAUGAUAAAUAAAAAAAUGAUGGACAAUGGAAUUUCCUGUCUUCCUUAAAUAUAUCAAAAUUUACAAAGAUGUUGUCUUAUAUUUGAAUUAACCUUUAAUGAGUCAUAUAAUCUUUAUUUUUUAAGUGAGAAAAAAUGUUCUGGGCUCAGGUCCUUUCCCUUUAUGCUUUAGUUCUGCUUUUCCUCUGUCUCUCCUUCUUGUGAAAUGGGGAGUGUCUCUCUCUCCUUUUUGACUUGCAUGUAAUAGAUUGUAAUGUCACCAACUCAGAUAAACAUUAAACAUUUUUUGCAGUGGUCCCUGACAGUGUAACUAAAACCAUGGCAAUACACAGGAACUGAACCAGUCUGAACUGUAAUUGCACAGUAGACUGCAAUGGCUCCAGUCCCCUGGCAUCAAGCUGAGGUGGACUAACCCGCAAUCCUUUUCAGCAAGUACAAAGCUACAGAGAGAACUUGAAGUGGGAUUCAGUUUCAGGAGUGAAGUCUGGCUCUUCCUUGGUAGAAAAUCCUUUCAACCCCCUUGUGGCUGGAUCUGGGCAUGAUGUUGCUCACCCAGACAGCUGCUGUCCUGUAUAGGUGCUUGCAUUACCAGUGGAGGCAGCUAUUACAAGAGAAGCCCCCUGCUGUGUUUCCACCAGCUUCAUUAGAAGUAGUGUAUGGGGGAGGACUGACCGUGUAGGCGACAUGCCCCUGCUCCUUUCUGACCAGCUAUUAGUGGCUUGGGGAAACCUCACUUUCUCCCUCUCACCACAUACCUGAUGGCAGCGACUUCUAGCAGUCAGCAGAGACCUACCACCACAAAACCCAAAGGGCAUCUGUGACCCACACCUCCUCCAGCUGUCAUCUCUGCCUUGGCCUCUUAGCUUCUCUGCUUGCGUUCCCCUGCUGCAGCCAGAACAAACAUGCUGGCAGCCAACUACUUUUCUCAUACCCCUGCCUUGAUGCUGAGAGGGGAAAGGUUCCAGAAACUCUCUCCAUUUCAGCACCUCAUGGAGGUUAUGGUGGUCUCUUCUGUUUGCUGAUGUCAAAGGGAAGUUACUCCCAUGUCAGUACUGUGAUUUAAAACAGAGAAUGGCAUUAAAAUAAAGGAACCUGUUUGUGUCUAAUAAUAAUUUCUAACUCUUCUAGCACUUUUCAGCAGCAGAUCUCUAAAUUCUUUACAAAGCUCAGCAUUAUUAUCUCCAUUUUACAGAUGCAUAAACAGGGAGAAGGAGAUGAAGUGACUUGGCCAAGGUCACCCAGAAGGCCAGUGGCAGACCCAGGAAUAGAAUCCAAGUUUCCUAUGUUAUAGGCUAGUGCUGUCUCCACACUUCCUCCCCUAGAUUACAUACGUAAUUCGUCACUUUCCAUAAUUGAACCUAGCUAAAACAAUCUCAGCAUGGGAGCUGGGGGGAAUAAAAGUGAAUAGCUAUCUACUUCUUGAAAGCAAUCCCCUCAAGUGAGCCUUUCAGCAUCACAUCCUUGCUUCAUCAUAAAGCCUCCCUGAACCAGAGCAGCUGCCCUCUUUCGAAACCUGCUUUCUCCAGUACCAUCUGCACAAAAGGGGUUUGGGGGUCUGUCUACAUUCUCUAUGCGGUGGACCGCUGAGGACAGAUCUUUUAAUGAUGAUAAUAUCCAGUUGACUUUCAACAGCUUAAUGACCUAAGUCAGAUCAAGCUGGUUGUAUCUGGUUUCCAUCAGGCCUCUUUUUAAAAAACACUCUAAGCAGUUUUUUUUCUUUUUACUGUGAAUUCUGGACAGAGAUCAAGACCACAUGUCACAGGACUCCUAACUAACCACCCAGCUCAUCACCAGCAGGCACCUGGUCCCCACCUGACCAAUUACUUUAUGGCCAGAGACUUCAAGACAAUCUGCCUCCCCCCACAUCUGAUAAUUGAGCUAAUAGGAAUGAAAGAUCAGGGUGGAUCAAGAGGGCUGGAGUAGACAGAAGGUAGGUUUGGAACAAGGAGAAGAUACUGACUUUAAACAAUCACAUUAAAAUAAAUUUGAUAUCCACGACAUGAGGCAUUUGAUAGAGGUACUCAUCAUAUAUAUUUUUAAUCAAAAUACAUUCAGAUUCUAAACUGUUCUAGGCACAGACCUGUUAUAUCUGUGUAGUGUCUAGCACAUUGUGGGCACUGUAUAAAUAAAAAACAAAACUCCAUUUGCAAAGGUAAAUCAGUUUCACUCAGUUCAAUGGUGGUAAAGUGGAAGAAUGUUAUAGAAAUCAUAGAAAACAGCUGGGUGGAUUAACUUUAAAUCACAAUUUAAAUAAGCAAGCAGGAAAUCUCAAUUAAAGUCAUUUUAAUCUUGAUUUGCAUUUGUACUUUUUAGCUAUUUUCCUAAAGAGAGGUUUGUUCUUAUUGAUUGGUAUAACUUCUAAAACAUGUUGAUUUGUAAUCAAAUAUCGCCUUUACACAAAAUUUGAUACUUCUCUUUGCCAACAAGAAGGAAACACUUUUAUCUAUAUGCAUUUAUUUAAGCUUAACAUACUUAUUCAGAUUCUUAAUUUUUUCCAUUUUUACGUGGGAAUAUGGUGAAUGACUCAUUCCUUAUUUACUGAAUGGUGACUUUUUUUAUUUGGGAUUUGUCACGCUGCAUUUGGUUGGAAAUUACCGUUUUAAUGCAUUUUUAAUUUAAUUACCAGUUUACAUUUGUUUUUAUAUUAGUUAACUAAAACUACCUCAAAGGUGCUGGAAACAAACUCCCAUUUUUUCCUCUCAAAACAAUUUUUUUAUUUAAAACUGAUUUAUUAAACAAUGGAAAUAUUAACUGCCAUUGGUGAAUUGACAGAUUGUUUCUGGUCAUUAUGGACCAGAUUUUCAAGGGUGUCUAAUGAGAUUUUCAGAAAUACCCAUGGGGGAUAGGUUCUUCUGAAAAUUGGAUGAGGCACGCAUUUGGAUCUUUAGUCACCAAAAUACCCUUGAAAAUUAGGCCCAUUAUCUCCAGGUUUUCAUCAGUUUUUAAUGUUCUCCUACCCGUUUUUUUAGUGAUUGGAAGAGGAAAACGAGCUUUCCUACUUUUUCAGCUCUCCAAUCCAUUUCUCAACUUUGCAUGAACUAGUUCAAAUUAGGAAAAUAUUCUCUCUGCAUCUGCUAGCUAAACUAAAAUGAAAAGUAAGAAAGGCAUUAAAGGCAAAAACUUCUCUGCAAAACAAACUGAAAUAACUUACCUUUGGAAAAAAUGUAAUUACCAGCAUUUGCUCCAUUGUAAAGACUGAAAAUAAUAUCAAGACUGAAAUGCAGUAUAAGACAUUGUAAUGUAACUACUGUAUUAAGCUUGAAUUGACCUCAAAAGUUAGAUGUUACCCACUGGUUUUGUACAUAUUAAAAAAAAAAAAAAAAAAAAAAAAAAAAGGCAGCACAUUU